rnacentral:rRNA from 1 species
AAACCAACAGGGAUUGCCUCAGUAGCGGCGAGUGAAGCGGCAAGAGCUCAGAUUUGAAAUCUCACCUAGUGUGCGAGUUGUAAAUUGCAGGUUGGAGUCUCGGGUUAGACGUGUGUGCAAGUCCCUUGGAACAGGGUGCCACUGAGGGUGAGAGCCCCGUAGCGUGCAUGUCGACACCUGUGAGGCCCUUCUGACGAGUCGAGUUGUUUGGGAAUGCAGCUCUAAGUGGGUGGUAAAUUCCAUCUAAGGCUAAAUAUUGGCGAGAGACCGAUAGCGAACAAGUACUGUGAAGGAAAGAUGAAAAGCACUUUGAAAAGAGAGUGAAACAGCACGUGAAAUUGUUGAAAGGGAAGGGUAUUGGGCUCGACAUGGGAUUUACGCAUCGUUGCCUCUCGUGGGCGGCGCUCUGGGUUUUUCCUGGGCCAGCAUCGGUUUUCGUUGCAGGAUAAGGACAAUUGGAAUGUGGCUCCUCGGAGUGUUAUAGCCUUUUGUAGAUGCUGCGUAUGGGGACCGAGGGCUGCGGCGGACUCGUUUCGUCUCGGAUGCUGGCACAACGGCGCAAUACCGCCCGUCUUGAAA